UAAAAGGGUCGGUUGGCUAAUUAUGCCACGCUCGUCUUGAGAUAAGGCGGGUGCUGUAUGGCUAUCAAGACAUAUGGCCGGCAUAAUUUGUGGAAUCCUAUAGGAUUGGCUUGCUUGGCCGAUCCUCCUG
rfam:Beta vulgaris subsp. vulgaris Bvchr3.sca010.con0060.1, whole genome shotgun sequence.